CUUGCGAGGGAUUCCGGCGCGGCUGGGAGUCAAUCUGAGGCGAGGCUUGCAAGUGAUCCGGCGCCGGAGGGGAUCGACUGGAGGCGAGGCAUCCAGCCUCGAUCCGAGGCGACGUGUGCGAGGAUCCGGUGAUCGACAGGAUCUCGCCCGUAGCAGAUGGGCGACCUUUCCUCUUUGCCUUCACCGUUGCUGGUUCGCCUCUGCCUCCGACCUCGGCGCGUCCCCUCCUCCCGCUCGCCUCCCCUCCCCCAGGAACGAGGAGGAGCAGCCGGUGCCCCCGCCCUCGAGCUCGCCGACGGCGCUGUUCUCCGGCAUAAGCUUGCUGAUAUUGCUCCUCCUCUCCUCUGUCCGCGGCUUCCCCGAGCAGUAAGCAUAGACCUAAUUCAACAGGUCGCUUGGUGAACGGAGAGGGGCUGCAGGGGGGUGAUCCAGGCAAUUUCAAAUCUUGGGAGCUCAAGCGGCAUGCAUGUUAUCUCCCUGUUGGCCGUGCAUAACCAAGUUUUUUCUAAAUGGACGUGAUGCUCCAUCAGCUUCCACAUACGACAUUUGGAAAAGUUGUUAAUGGUGGAAAAAAUGACGUGGGCAAUUAUUAAGACACAAUUGAGAUGCAAAAUCAUACUGAUGCUCCUCAGAGAAGACGAAUUCACUGUUACAGAAGGAAGUGAGCCCCCUUAGAUUUCCUAUAUUCUUGAACACGCAAUCUGCAAAAUCAUCUGCACGUUUUGUCUUUUCUUUUUUGCACAAGGUAUUUGGUCUUAGUUUAUUAUGUAGAUUCCACAAGUUAAUGUUCUUUGUGAUUGGACGCGUACCUACAUACGGUUAUUUAGUUUCAGAGAUAAAUUGCAUCUUGCUCAGAAUCUUUUAUUGCAGAUGAACACCAAAAUAAAUUUGCCAUUUUAAAGGAUGGAGUUCGAGCAAUUUUUUUACCAAUCUGGGCAUUUUUUUCUUCAGAAUUUUACUACAAACCUUGCUUUAUUUGUACAAAUGGCGAGCACACUGACAUCGAUUGGUACGUUUGGGGAUGGUUUUGUAGGUCACAAUCCUUAAUGUGAUAUUGUCUUUUGAAAUUGUUACCUUGCCUAAAUUUGUCUUUUGUCAUCCAUUAGUUGGCAUACUGUACUAUGUCUUCCUACCACUUUGUUCUAUAGAAUUAUAGAACCCAACUUUUCAAGCCUUUGACUUGUUUUCACUCUGCAAUUCAUCGAUUAUGUUCACUCUGCAGUUUAGGGUGUACUUUUGACAAAAUAUUGACAUUUUCUAUUCGGCUCUUUAUUCAACCAUCCUUAUAUUGUGAUGUCGUGCUAUAUAGAGUUACCUGAUAUAAAGUUUUUCAAUGUGUAUACCCUUGCUAGAAACAAGUUUGUUCUUUUAAGGGUUAUUAGGCUAUCAAUUAUUAUGAUUUACAUUCUACAUUUCUUUAGUAUAUGAUAUUCAUCCAUGUGAUUCUUUAUGCCAAUUUUGAGGCUGCCAGGCUAGAUAUCGAAAAAAAAUAGUUGUUCUUGGGAGUGACAAGAUGCCCUGUUUAGUAGUUGGACUUCGGCCAUGAUAUUGUCUUCUCGAUUGCUAACAAAGGAGCACAAUACAAGUUGAUGGAGAAAAAUACUAUUUGCACAACUGAUAAUGUAUCGAAGUGGUAGACCUAGAUGAUAAAUCUCCAUAUGCGGCGAUGUUCGUAGAUAUUAAAAAGGAAAUUUUGCUAGCUGGAGGAAAUUCUUCUAAUUGAAUAUGAUAUAUACAUAGUUUAGUUGCUAUAAUUUUGUGCUGCUUGUUCCAUCUUGGAAGGCAAAUUGCCCAAUUGCAGGCUCAUUAAGUUGUAGCCUGACUAACCCUGCAUUGGCUCUCCAUGUUGUUUGGCACAAAUGAUUGUGAAACAUCACCAUGGUCGUGAAAAGUUGAACUGGUGAUCUCAAGAGAGAAAUUCAAUGUAGCUAAAUUACAGAUUUUUCUAUUGCCUAUUAGCCUCAUCCUACAGGAAAAGCUGAA